rnacentral:misc_RNA from 1 species
GAAAAUUGAAAAAGUACCAGCUUGCGAAUUCCAGAAAAUAAAGAAAUGAAAAUGACGACAGGAAACAACAGUAUAAAUACCAAUCCUGCAAGCCUGGAAGUGACUUCAUACACAUUCUCAAUCUCAACAGAUAGAGAAAUCUAGUGUCACCACCAUAAAAGAAAGAAUCAGAUUCAUAAUCUCCAAAUCAAGAACCAAUAAAACCAUACAUUCCGAUCAGAAAACGUUGCAUCAGCACAACCAUCACCACCGUUGCUGCCAUUGCCCAACCAUGAUUGCUGACCACCACCACCACCAUCCCUCCAAGUUCCUUCCCAAGCGGAUUGUCCUCGUCCGCCAUGGAGAGUCGGAGGGUAACAUUGACACCGCUGCCUACGUCACCACCCCUGACAACAAAAUCCCAUUAACCUCAUCGGGUCUAGCCCAGGCUCGUAUCGCUGGGACUCAUUUGCACAAUCUAAUAUCCAACCACGGCAACUGCACCACCAACUGGCGGGUCUACUUCUAUGUCUCUCCCUACCAGCGUACCCUAUCCACCCUCCGGGAGAUUGGACGGUCGUUUGAAAGGGAGAGGAUUAUUGGGGUUAGAGAGGAGUGUAGGAUUAGAGAGCAAGAUUUUGGGAAUUUUCAGAUCGAGGAGAGGAUGAAGGUGAUUAAAGAGACCAGAGAGAGGUUUGGGAGGUUCUUUUAUCGGUUCCCUGAAGGAGAAUCUGCUGCUGAUGUUUUCGAUCGCGUUUCAAGUAAGUUUUCUUCCUUGUUAUUGUCGUUUUGUUGAUUAAUUUGGUUAAUGUGUAUUCUGCUUUUUCUUUAUUUCUGUUGUUUAGUGAAUCACCCUUAAUAUCAUAAUGAAUUUCUUUGUAUUCUGCUCUUCUAAAUCAUCUAUUAUAUGCCAUUUGAUUACAGGGAAAAUCAUAGGAUAAGCAAAAAUAGAGAAUUCAGAACCUGAGUAUUAGCCUGAACUAUUUAUGUUUUAACCUGUUUCCUGUUAAUGUUGAAAACUGAAAAACAACAUAAUUUUGUGUUUGGGAAUGUGAUGAACUGAGCUUGAUUGUCUCUUUAAAGAUGCUAAAUCAAUCAGCGUAGUUGGUCUGAGCAGCUUGGGCUAUUUUUACAACCGGUUAUUUUUUGAUGACAAAGAUGGUAAUAGGAAAAUGUGUUGUGAAAUGCUAGUGUAAAGAAGUUGAAAAUGAUUAAGAAUAUGCAUCUCAUUCUGAACAUUUUGCGAGUCUAGCCAAAAAAGGCUUUCAUUUUAUGAUAUUUGGACAUAAAAAACAUACAUUUUACAGAUACCGUAUGCAAUUGAAUUUGUUCUCAUGCAUUGGUUCUGGGGCCUGAAUCUUUGAUAUUAGCUGAUGGUUUCUCUUGCUUGCUUUUCUAAUCUCAUCACAGCAUAUAGAUAAUAAAUUACAUGGUCAAAUUAAGGCAACUUUUAUUUUAUAGCCAAUUUAGCCUAAUAGUUUGAAUAAGGUGAAUAAAUAUUAUUAAUGAUAUUUCUUUUGUACUUUUUGUUUGUAAAAAAAUUUAGGAUUUUAGGAAAAAAUUUGAGGGAUAAACCAAACCCAUGAAUUCUUAGGGCUUCUAAGACCAAUAACCAAACUCAAUCAACCCCAAAUUCCAUUCAGAAGGAAAAUUUUCCUUGAUCAAACUAAGUCCUUUUUGAUUUCCAUUUAUUUUCUCCACACGCAUGAAAAGCAAAUCAUCAUUUAAUCCAAAAGCCUUCCUAUCUCCCUUCCACAGAAAACAAAACACAGCUCCCAAACUCAUCUCCUUAAAACAAAAAUUUAUAGUAUGGUUAUAGGCCACAAAAAUCAGAAUGGUGGCUGAUGUUGUGCUGGCUCUUUGGAAAAAUCUCAAAAUCAGCCAACUAGUCAGCAAUUUCCUAUUUCUUUUUUUAUUAACUCACCAAUUGAAUCAAGCUUUUUUUGCACUAGACCUCUUUCUUUGAAGCAGAUAUGAUGGCUCCUGCAUCCAACCAGGUGAUCACCAUGCCUCCACUGUUGGCUGACUGUUCUCAUGAUGCCAUGAUCAUCAUCAAUAGCUGUGACUAAUAAAUUUUCAAACACUGUCAUUUUGGCCCUUGCUGGAGAAGAUUAAUAGAUUUUUUUAUUUUUAAAGAAUUUUUCCUCCAAAAUGCUAAAAUUUUGUUGGAAAAAAUAAUAAAAAAAAAACCAAAUAUAAAUUUCAUUCACAUUUCAAGCUCUUGGACUAAAUAAACUAAGAAAUAAAAGUUGUAUGCUGAUUUGGCUAAAUAGUUAAUUUUGGAUUUAAUUGACUAUGGCCUGUAAUUCAGAGACCAAUUUGAUUUUUACCCCAAUGUUUAACAAUGAAGAGAAGUUUUCUAACUGAAUUAAUGAUUCGGGUUAGAUGCUUUCUUCUGGCAGGUUUUCUCGAAUCUCUCUGGAGGGAUAUAGAUAUGAACAGGCUUCACCAUGACCCUUCACAUGACCUAAAUCUCAUAAUUGUAUCGCAUGGAUUAACUUGUCGUGUAUUCCUCAUGAAGUGGUUCAAGUGGACAGUUGAACAAUUUGAGCACCUAAAUAAUCCUGGGAACUGUGAGAUUCGAGUUAUGGAGUUAGGAGAAGGUAGGGAAUACAGCUUAGCAAUUCAUCACACAGAUGAAGAAAUGCAAGAAUGGGGAAUGUCUCCUGAAAUGAUUGCUGACCAGAAGUGGCGAAUCCAUGCCCACAAGGGUGAUUGGAAUGACAACUGUUCCUGGUACUUCGAUGCAUUUUUUGAUCAUCUGAAGACAGAUCCGGAUAAAGAAAGUGAUGAUAAAGCAGAUGAUUCUUCAAGUACAUGUGAAUAGGCUCCCCAGAAAUUAGAUGGGAAAUUCUUUUGAUUCACCGAUUGACUUGUGUUAGUUGAUGCAUAAUUAACAAAUACAUGGAAAACAUAGUUCUGAUCAAUGCAAACAGAGGCUACAGUGCAAGAUUACUUGGUGGAUUGUAAUACUUUAUAAGAAACAUCUGCUUCUAAAUGUAAAUUUUUGACUGCUCUCUGCAAACUGUAAACACGAGCAAAUGGCUCUGGUGCUUGGUUUAUGUUAUUCUCUGAUUAAAUGCUGUCUGACUCUUGGUGGAAAUGCUCAUUUUAUCUGCAACAGGUAUAUCCUUCAGUUUAUUUUGCGGAUAAUGUGAAUUUGCUAGUACAUGUUUGUUUUUAAAAGAAAAAAAAAUUAUCAAUUAGAACUCGAAUUCUCAAAGUUUUC